UGCCGCCCCUUACUCCAACGCGCCACCGCCGGCCCCCUACUCCAACGCGCCGCUGCUGGAAACCUGCCGGGCGCGCCGCCGCCCCCUGCCCCAGCACGCCACCACAACGAUCUCCCUUUCCCAGUGCGCCGCCGCAGGCCCCCUGGCCCAGCGCGCCACCGCCACGACCUCCCUCCCCCAGUGCGGUGCGGCCUAGCCCCUGCCUCCGAGUGUCGCCGGUCUUCGCGCACAACUGUCCCACUGCUGCCUCACACACCAACUCUGUACUGAGGCUAGCACGGUGGUCGAUCACCGAGGGAUGGCCGGUCCUUGCCACCAGCGGCCGCACUCCCGACGUGCUGAGCGAUUGGGCCCAUAGAGGCUUGCUCCCAUCAUCCUCCUCCUCCCAGAGUACGAUGGCAAUGGCGACAACAUCCAUUAGAUCCUCCUGUGCCUCUGCUCGCCUUGCUUUCACCACCGGCCAGCCGUGCAAAUCCAUGUAAAAAAGUUCAGGCAAAAUGUGGAUCCCUGUACAAAGUUCAGGAGUAUAAAUGGAUUUUCUUCUUGUUGAACGAAGUUGAACUUGUCAUUAUGCUUCACGGCUGGGGGUGGGAGGCGUGCGGCGGCCGGAGGUGGGAGGCCGUUCAAGUUUGCGUCUUUCGCUCAGCCAGCGCUCGACGAGGAGCACCCCGGUCUCGCUCGUGUGUGGGUUUUGGAGUAUAUUCUACCGAUGUGUUCUGCUCUCCUCUAUUUUCAACUGAAUCGUGCUGCCAUGUGUGGAUUUCCCCUCUAAUUCCACAACAAGUUGAAUCCCGCAAAUUCUACUGGUAAAUGCAAGAUUCAGUACUGUCCAUUUUGAUUUUCUAUAAAGAAGGCCAAUCAUUCUUGUUGCUUCACAUAUACUAGUAUACGGGAGUACUAGAAUCCAUCCACGAAACAGUCAAGCAACCAUGGAUAUCAGCCCACCACUGUGUUGCGGAUGUGAUCUUUGUGCGCUUUUGAGUAUUGUAAAACAAUUGUAUGCUUCUGGUUGCUGCUUGCUGCCACUGCCGAAUUGUGUAGGUGCAAAAAGUUUCGUAUCACAAGUUCAAAGAGGGUUGUAUGCAAGUUCAGAAGUUUGUUUGGAGCAUCUUUAGGUGUUUGUUGUAAUGUAGAAAAGAGUUUUUAAUAUUGAAAACAAACCUAGUGAAAAAAUGUCCAGGCGACCAUCAUGCCUGCCUCCUGACCCUCGCCAUCAGGUCGCGGCCUCUUCCGCCGUCAGGUCGCAGCCUCUUUCGCCAUCAAAUCGCAGCCUCUUCCUUCUGCAGGUCGCCGCCUCCUGCUGCUGCAGGCCAUGCCCCAUCCCCCAUUCUCGCGUGGUCGCCAACGAGGUAUCCUACUACAACGGUGGUCACCGCCCAGAACUCUCUCCGGUUCUUUUUGAUCUACUUUUGCACAUUUGUUCUUUAUCUCACGCAUUUUGUUAUGUAGGAGGUGAACAAUUUUUGAUCCUGAAGUUUCAUCGCAUGAUUUUUUGUCUCUGAAUUUUGCACCAAUUCUUGAUCCUGGAGCAUCAAUGCUUGAGCACUGAUUUUUGUGUGUUAGGUGGGUGUACAGUGUGUUGGGCAUGUGUUUUUAUUUUAUGUUCUGAGCAAAAAAUCGACUACAAAAAUUGUGUCAUGAAAAGUUCAUGUACACCUAUCGAGGUGGUUCUAAAAUUAAAACUUUUGAAGUUAAAAAAUAGGAAAUCAGUUAUUUGGUUGUGGAGGUUCUUUUUUCCUUGAACUAUAUAAGAGUUCAACUUUUGCUUGCUUUUCAGUUCAAAUUUUGCGUUCUUUUCAGUACAUCAACUUUAAUGUGCAGAACAUCGAGGAAAUCUUGAAAAAUUAUAUGUGCACUCUAUGUAUUUUCUUAUGCUUACAAGAAUUCUGCACUCAUACUGUUAUGCAUCAGUUCAAGUUGCUUGUGGAGUUUUAUAUAUAUGCAAUUGGAUUAGAGCACCAUGCUCUCAACUAAAAGUUUGAAAAACCAUUGCUUUCAGUUCUGGUAACAUAUAUUUUUGUUUCAGUUUUGCUAAUUCUUUCUCCAAUGGCCUUUAUAUAUUAUCUUUCAUAUGUCUUACUAUAUGAAAAAAUGUUGCCUUCAGCAAGCAAUAUUGCUCAGUUUUCUGGUUAAAAAAACAGACAACAUGGAUUACUACCAUGGGAAUUCAAAGAAAUGUCAUAUAUAAAAACAGUACAAUUUGUGAGCUUCUUGCAGACUAAUGAUGAGUUACUAGAUAAACUAAGAGUCAUCGUUUGUGGGCUCGUGGCUGGAACACGAAGCUCAAGUUGUGGUCCAGUAUGUUAGAAAAUUUUAGUUCACCUUCGUAGGCUUUUUCACUUCAUCUUAUCAAAAGCAAAAAAAAUCAAAUGUGUUUCAUAGGAUUUGCUAUUUAUGUGUACACCUUUGUAGGCUUUUUCGGUUCAAGUUUUGCUAGCCAAAAUAGAUUUGUGGCAGUUCAACAUAGUUUGUUUUCAGAAAAGCUCCUUGGUAUUUCUUCGGCUGCAACAUGUACAUGCAUCCCUACAAAAAAAAUGGUGAGCAUACUGCCAGUUGCACGCUGCUGCCCCCAUCCUCUGCAUUUUUCUUAUUGGAGCCAAGUUGUUGUUGCUAAUACGUUUGGAUUUGAUAAAUAAGAAAGAGAAUAAAAGGGACGGGUGAAGAGAGAGCAAGUACAGGAGAAAAAUUGUGGGAGCCAGGCUUCUUGAAACAUUGCAUCCGAGUUGAUUCUGGCUGCCUCACGAGUUUACAACUAACUUAUUUUUGUGUGGGUUCGUGCAGUCCUAUAGGUGUUUGUGUUCAUGCCUACAAGUGAUUUGUUGUGAAGUUAGGCAAGAUGAAGCUGGGACAAGGCCGAACCGUGUGGCAGAACUGCCUCCUUCUAGUGCGUCGCCUCCUCGUUCCAGCAUGCCGCCACCGCCGCAACCCUCCACCGUCAAGGUCGCACGUGUGUCGUCCUCAGUCCAACCCCAUGGCAUUAGGGUGGUCGAGUUCGUCACGAGUAGCAGUCCAUGGCUGCCGGGGUUCAACUUUCCUCAUCACGAGGCUUGUACUCUUCUCCUAUGAGCUCUCUCUCACUUCUGUUGUUCAUUUUUACUGCUGCUUCAAUUUCCUUGUGAUGCAAAAUGUUGCUGAUGAACAUUACUGGUUUAUAUUUUAUAUGGUCGUUUGGUGCACAGGAAA